UACGUAGGGGGCAAGCGUUGUCCGGAAUUAUUGGGCGUAAAGCGCGCGCAGGCUGUUCCUUAAGUCUGAUGUGAAAUCUCGGGGCUCAACCCCGAGCGGUCAUUGGAAACUGGGGAACUUGAGUACAGAAGAGGAGAGUGGAAUUCCACGUGUAGCGGUGAAAUGCGUAGAUAUGUGGAGGAACACCAGUGGCGAAGGCGACUCUCUGGUCUGUAACUGACGCUGAGGCGCGAAAGCGUGGGGAGCGAACAGG
rnacentral:rRNA from 1 species